rnacentral:snRNA from 1 species
GGAUUAACAUGGCCCCUGCUCAAGGAUGACAAGUAAAUUCGUGAAGCGUUCCAUAUUUCU